CAUUAAGUGGCUGAAAUAUAAGCAUUGGUCUCUUAAAUCAAAUUAUGGUAAACAAAUUACCCUUAAUGG
rnacentral:tRNA from 1 species